ensembl:lncRNA
AUGAGUCACAUGCCUCAGGCGCUUUUCCAGGGCAGAACUCGGGUAGACCUGCCCCUGGCCCUGCCCUGGCUCUGUCCCCUCCCAACCUCGGGUCAGCUCGCCAGGCAGAGAACAGGGCCCAGCCUUGUGCCCUGGAAGAGAAGGGACAUCUCUCCUUCUCCAGCCCUGGAGGGAGGUGAUGGGAUGCUGGGUUCUGCAGGACCACCACUACCCUCCGGGGUGCCCACCACAGUGCUGGGAAUCUGGGGCUUCAGGGUGUCAACUCAGGUUCUCCUUGGCUGCCUCCUCUUCCGCGUCCUGCUGCUCCCGCUACCAUGGCCAACCCCAUUAAUCACCUUCACUCUCGCCAAUCCCCAGGAAUGUGGCUAAAAGUCAGCCCUGGGUUAAACAAACAAACCAACCUGGAGGCUUCUAAGUCAGCUGUGAGGCUCUACCAGGCUUCUCCUUCCCUGCUCUGCCUGCCACCCCUGCCCACCCCCAGCCCCUGCUCCCACUGGGAUCUCAGAGCCUCCUCCCACACACCCCAGGACCAGGAGGGAACAGCACAACCCCAGUGAAACCACCUUUAGGCUGAGCAGGGAGGGGCUGCCCAGAAGCCUGAAACCCACCUCCCCCUGGCCAGGGCCUCCCCUCACCAUCUGCUUCACCCCGCACAAUCUCUGCCCCUUACUCCUUCAUAUUUGGUGCCUAGCAACCCCGCUUCCCAAUCUCAGGCCCUGCAAACCAGCUCUUAUCCUGCCUGGGUCCCUACACCACACCUCAAAGGAAUGGAACAUGUCCCUGGGAAGGUUCCCCCAAGGAUGUGGAGAAGCCAGAGAGGUUGGGGGCAGCUGGGAGCCUCUUCCUGUCCACCUUCCUGCUUUCCACAUCCCCUCCUCUAUCCCCAGGACUCAGCACCAGUAACGUCCCACUGAGCCUGGCCUGGGAGCAGGCUCAGGGACUUUCUGCUAAGGGAAGAGGGACCCACACCCCUAAGUGCCUGUAAACAAAGAGGAAAAUAUGCAAACACUCAGCCCACUCACACGAACACAAGAAUUCACAGCUGGACCAAGGGAUGCGCACAGGUGCAGACCACACUGCUGAUCAAAUGAACUGCACUGACGGGGCCAGAGCUGCGGCUGCAGCUCCCACGCUAGGGCCCCCGGCCCUGUGGUGCCUCAAGCCACUUAAAAUAUUCAGAAAGCCAACAGACAGCCUACAUUUAGCCACAGUGAGGCUUCUGGGAUUAACAGUGAGGCUUCUAGGACUCUGGCUUUGCUUUUAGCCAGAGUCACAUCAACUCAAUGCAGACCAUUUCAUGCUGAUAAACAUUCUGAGGGUCCAUGUACCAGAAUUAGAUUGAGAAAACGGAGAAAGAAGUCACAAAUUAGCAAUCAUUAUUUAACAAAUGUUUUCCAAACAUGGAGUAUAUAGCAGAUAAUAAAAUGGAUCUUAUAUGCUUAUUUCCUUAAUAUACAAAGAGCUCCUACAAAUCAAUGAGAAAAUGAUGCAUAGACCUCCCUUGAAAUGGUCAAACAUCAAUAACAUGGGAUUCACAAAAAGAGAAGAAAGAAAUCAAAAUAGUCAACAAAUAUAGGAAAAUAUUCUCAAACCCACUCUAAAAGGUACUUAAUUUUUAAUGAGAUAUUAUUUUUCACCUAUCAAAUCAAUAAAGAUUUAAAGGCA